UCCCACCCAGCAGAAUGACUGUCCCCCUACCUGUUUACUAACUAAAGCGGCACCACCAAAUCCUCCUUACAGCAGGAAGUCCAGGAUCUGGAGUUCAACCUCCUCCCAUCUCUGGCCCCGUUGGACGGAGAGAUUGCUGAGUCCCCGGGGAUGGCUUUGAAGGAGCAAGAGAAGCUGCAGAGAGUCGAGGCCAUUGUGGUGGGGCUGGAUGGAGAUCACCUAGGAGGCCCCUGGAGUACACACCUCGCUUCUUCCACGUUUAAAAUACAGGCUCAUAAAGCACAUCCCUGGGAUACCCAAACAUUGAAGGAACAGAUGUGAUUUUUGAAGUCAAUGUGUCUUCUGUGGUUGGUCUAGCAAGAAUGUGUCCCGCUGCACCAACGCAUUUGACCUAUCACCGGAAGACCCCUUGAGGUCAACUUUUAAGAAGUUUGCGACAGCUAUAUCCUUCCUACCUAAUAGCCGAUAAGGAGUUCUUCACUUCUUUUCCUGGGAGAUCAGGAAUCUUAGAACAACGCUAAUGCAGAGUGAGUGGUUCUCAAAUCUUAACGGACAUCAAAAUAUUCUGGAAGGUUUGUUGUUAAAACACAGAUUCCCUGCCUUUCCUCAGCCUCAGCUAAGAACUGAAGAGGAAGCCACAAAAUCAGGUCUCUACAUCACCUGGAUGGGGCUUGUUCCCUUGGUCAUGAUCCAUUAAAGUGCAGUUGGAUUUCUUAAAGAAGCUGGUGAAGGAGCUGGAAUCUGAAUUAAGGGUACACAGAGGUCAAACAGGAUUAAGCUUUGCAACAAGGGCCUUGAAUUUCUCAAGUCACUUUCCUUUGGCUUGAAAUUAAGGGGAAACAUCACCUCUGCUUCCCCAUGGGUGUGUGUGGAUCAACUCAGUUCACCGAUACCUCACUCUGAAGAGAUCUGCUCAGUCCUUCAAUCUUUUUAGGCUGAGGUGAGCAACCAGCUUACGCCAGCAGGACCAGUGUGAGACUGCUGUCCCCUCUCCUGCACCCCACUUAAAAAAUCCUGAAGGAGUGGUUUAGCAUCUGUCUUCAAAUAUUUUAUGGGAUCAGGACCUGAGCUGAAGGCAGACGCUUACCGGCUGAGCCACCCAGGCGUCCCCUGAUGUGCAUUCUUAAAUUGGUUUCAUCUGCCAUAAAACCUACAUUGAAAGGAAUCAUCUGCUAGGCAUUUUUUACCGUGGCCCGCCUGGUAGUGAGUUUGAGCGUGCCAGGCAAGCCAGUUAAGACGUCUCGCGAUAGGCGUGAACACUCUCGCGAGACCUGAAGAUACCACAGCCCCAGCGACUAGAGGGAGGAGAGGACUACCGGAAGUCUUUCAUCUUGAGCUCAAGCCCCAUGCUGAUAGCGCGCUGACUUUCAUUGUGGGAAACCGUUUUCCAGGAAACAGGAAGCCAGUCACCUGGCUGGAAGUCCCGCCUCCUUGAACUCUCCUACUCUUCGAGAAGUUUUUUUUGUCAUUUGUGCUUGCUUUUGCUCCCUUUCCUUGUUUUAUCCUUAUGGUAGGAAAGAAUACUUUCAGUGUCUCCCCCACUAGCUCUGCUGAACCGGUUGGACAUCUCAUUCCCCGAGUUGGGAUUCCCGCCUCACUCCCCUACGUAGCCUGGAAGAGGGACCUGGGGAUGUUUGGACUCCUGGGGCACUGAGGGAAGGGCGGAGAGGGAACAGAGUCUCUCUUCUGCACCUGCUACCAGACACGGCCUCCCCAUCUGCUAUGCACCCCAAGGCCUUCCUUCUUUCCAUGCUUGUAGUCACUAUGCUGUGGGGAGCGGCCCCCAUCCGGGGGCUCAUUCGAGCGACUUCUGACCACAAUAACAGCAUGGACUUUGCAGACCUUCCAGCUCUCUUUGGGUCUGCCUUGAGCCAUGAGGGACUUCAGGGGUUCCUUGUGGAGGCUCAGCCAGCCAACGCCUGCAGCCCCGUUGCCCCGCCACCCCAAGCCACGGUCAACGGGUCAGUCUUUAUUGCACUUCUUCGGAGAUUCGACUGCAACUUUGACCUCAAGGUCCUAAACGUUCAGAAGGCUGGGUAUGGUGCAGCUGUGGUACACAAUGUAAAUUCCAAUGAACUUCUGAAUAUGGUGUGGAACAGUGAGGAAAUCCAGCAGCAGAUCUGGAUCCCGUCUGUGUUUAUUGGGGAAAGGAGUUCCAAGUACCUGCGUGCCCUCUUUGUCUAUGAGAAGGGAGCUCAAGUGCUUCUGGUCCCAGACAAUAACUUCCUCCUGGGCUAUUGCCUCAUCCUUUUCACAGGGGUUGUGGGACUGCUGAUUUUGGCCAUGGGAGCAGGGCUGAUAGCUCGUUUUAUCCAGCACCAGAAGCAGCUCCAGAUGAAUCGACUGACCAAAGAGCAACUGAAGCGGAUUCCUAUACACGACUAUCAGAAGGGAGACCAGUACGAUGUCUGUGCCAUUUGCCUGGCCGAAUACGAGGAUGGAGAUAAGCUGAGGGUACUUCCCUGCGCUCAUGCUUAUCACAGCCGCUGUGUGGACCCCUGGCUCACUCAGACCCGGAAGACCUGCCCCAUCUGCAAGCAGCCUGUUCAGAGGGGUCCUGGAGAAGGGGAGCAAGAGGGAGAAACGCAGGGGCAAGUGGGUGAUGAGGAAGGGGAGCCAAGGGACCACCCCGCCACAGAACGGACCCCUCUUCUGGGCUCCAGCCUCACACGUCCCACAUCCUUUGGCUCCCUAGCCCCAGCCCCCCUUGUUUUUCCUGGAUCUUCAAUAGAUCCAUCACCCUCCCCAUCCUCUUCUUCCUCUUCUGCUGUUGUCCUGGUCUGAUAUUCCCCUCCAGCUCCCCUCCCCUCUGGAGACCUAAUUGCAGGGUCCCUCUUCCUCCUUUCAGUCUUCCCCUUUGUGGGAUAGGGGACAUUUAUUUCCACACCAGGUUUCUUUCUCCCUUACCCAACCCUAUCCUUUUGAGGGGCAUGGGAGUGGAAAGGGAUGGUGUCUUCACUUACUGGGUUAAUAAAAGUAUAUUUGUGGAAUAGAAAGAAAAGUAUUCAGAUAACUAUUCAGAGAGCUGUCAAACACAAUUUGAAAGAGCGUAUUGUUAUAGUUUGUGUCAAGGAUUAAAAAAAUGAACGACAUUAUUUUAAAUCACUCAGAGCGUCUUAAAGUUACUUUGGGAUAUUAACAUUUCACAUUUGGCCUCAGUGCAAUUUCUCCUAUCUGUAAAAAUUUCAGUGCACUUUUUUUAACCAUUUUUGAGAGGGGUGAAUAUAAAUUGAGUAAUCUACACUUAUGUAAUCUAAAUGUUUAAUUGUCAUCAGUUAAUGCCUAGAGAGUGCAAAACUGUUGAAAUGUCUAUGUGGUCAUGACAAAAAAUAACUAGGUUGUAGGUCACCAGUCCUCUGCUCUUCUUCUGUGUUAAGUGGCUAUGUCAAUACAACAGAUUUAAUUGCUUUAGAGCUGCGGUCAUUUAGCAUUCGAAUGUGGCUAAUUGGGGUGGAAUUUUUAAGAGAAUUCCUUUUAGCUUUGUCUUUUCACAUCUUGGAACUAAAAACCUCUUUAAACGAAGGAGCCAUGCUACCUGAAAUGCUUUUCACCUGAGAGUGGUGAUAGUUCUGCCAUGUUUUCUGUCUGGAGCUGCCUCUGUGUAAUUGUGUAAGACAGGAGUUUGCUAAUAAGGGAUCAUUAACUACACCCUUCCUUUUUAGAAAUUAAGGUCAUGUUUGCCUGUUAAUGAUUGUUAAUGUUAGCUCAGCAAGUUCUUAUUUGUAUGCCCAAUUUCAGCUCACCUCAAUCUUCCCAACACUGCAUUGGUAAUGCAAAUGAUGAAAUACUCUCAGUGUUAACUUCGUGAUUUGGCUUAGAGUGUUCUCUUGCAUGCAAGCCUUGAAAUAAGUCUUAGCACACACUGACAGACUUCUAGAUUGGAAAACAGAAUCAAGAGUUAGAAGAGGAUGUAGUAUUUAAGCUAACAUAUAUAAUUUUAUUUCUAUGAAGAUGCAUUUAAAAUCACAAUUUUAGAACUGAUAUGGUUCUGUGAAAUCAGUUGUAAAUUGUACUGCAAUUAUUAUUUGUUCUACUCAUUAAUGUUAUGCUCCAGGCUUUCGUUUCAAUAUUUUUCACCAUAUGCAUCCUUUGGCAUGAGAUUGUAUUAAAAAUGUGUGCAUUGAUAAGCAUUAUGCAGUAUUGGGGGCCGCAGAACCAUGGGGUCCUCAAGGAACAGAUCCAGAGGUGAAGUUUUGUGUUUAUAAGUUGAUCGAGGAGUUAAAGAAACAGAACUGUGCAGAGAGAAAAGACUGGUUCACCAGAGAGCACUGUAGCUGGGAUGGCCUUGGGGAGGUGUCCCAAAUCACAGCAAGAGGGCAGGUCCUCAUGCCCUUGAAGUGACCUGUCAUUUCUCACAGGCUGACACAGGGGAGAGGAGUGAUCUUGUGGCUAGCUUUGUUCUGACAAGGAGAGUUUCUGGAGAGAAACUCACCUGAGAACUUUUGGUUACCAACGCCCUCAGUAGCUGGAGGAAUGAAUGCUUCAGUCUUGAAGAGGGGGGUGGGGAGAGGUCUGGGCUGUUCCUAUAAAGAUUUACUAAGGGUGAGUGGAUCCGAAGAAUGACCAGCGUGAGAAACUUCACUAGCUCACUUUGUCCAGGGUCCUUUCUGUUAUAAUACAAUACUCUGAGGUUAGUACCAGAUGCGAACAACAUAUAGAAAGUGCCUAAUUAGUAUCUGUACGAGCUUCCUCUAAUGGGAAGCAAUGUGGAGAGAGUGGCCUUUGUUAAGCUGAAAUGAUGAUGAGAUAAUAAUAAGAAGCAAAGUCUGGGAAGUGUUUGCAACAGCAUUUCCCCAGCUUCUGGGCCAGCGAUGGGCGACUGUUGAGUGUUGCAUGUAUUCAUUAUGCAUCUCCUGAACACCUACCAAGGCUCGAGAACAUUCCAGGCACUGCAAGGACCUGUGACACAGAGAAGGAAGAUCUCAUUCCCAAUUCUCUGAUAGUCAGGAGAAAACAAACAAGUGAACAGUCAUUAUGUAGUGUGAUGCUUGCGACAAGCCAUUAGAGAGGGCGUGGGUGAUCCAGGAUUACCGCUGGUGGGCUGGAGUGGCUCACACUCGCUCAACAGAGCCAGUUGCUAAUUUUUUGGACUUUGCCACAUUGUUGCUAAACACAGGUGCUAUUAAAAAUUAAAUUAUAUAAACUUACCGUUAAAUAAACGGUAUUAAAAACAAAGUUAAUACAGACUCAAAACUCAUCACUUCCUAAUUAUUUUGCUCUUAUUUACACGCUAGAGUCUUCAUGUCUGUUAGGUCUGUGUAGCUGUAGGUCUCAUAUAGUGGGGUGCUGCUGUAUCUCCUGAUGUGUGUGUCAGUGACAUUACAUUGGAGCCUGAAACUGGUCAUGACAGGAGUAUUUAUAGCACAGAAACUGGCAAAUGCUUCCCCCCACCACCUCACUUCAUCAGGGUUAGAUUUAUUGUUUUGUUGAUUAGCUAGACUUAAGGAAGUAAUAGAGAAAAUGUUAAUAAUUCAGAUUAAACUUAAAUCUAUGAUGUCAUGUGUCCAGCCAUUACAUUACGAAUAGCACCAAAAAACUGAGGAAAUAUCCUUCCAGGGUUUGAAAACUAGUAUCUGGCAAGUAAGUCCUUGUGUCAUUGAUGAAUGAGUGAAGUUGUCAAUACAUCCACACUUUUCCCCCUUUUGUUUUACUCAUUAAGAUAAACGGAAAUAUCAACUAAUAUUUAUAUCAGAACUAUAUUAGUUUGUCAGUGGCAUGAACAACUUCUGAUUGGGAAGUAAUCAAGCAUUUAUUCGUAGUCUAAUUUUGUGAAAUCAUGGUUGAAUUGCAAUCAUAGUUUGGCUACAAAUGCAAGAGUUCAGUAAAAACCAGGCUAAGUAUUCUGGGAGGAUAAAUUAGCUAUGUCAUAUGUACAAUAAAGAGUAUUGUGUAUUUUAUUAUUUCCCAAAAAAUGUGUACUAACAUCUCUUUGCAUCAGUAGAGAUUAUAAUUAUGUAUAUAUAUGCAUCCCUGAAUUUUCCCCUACGAGAGGAGGUUUUUAAACCUUUUCCGGCAAACCACUGGAUAAAGCAGAGCCAGUACAGAAGUUUGCACAGCGAUUGUAGGUGCGCAUGUAAGGGCGUGUAACUCAAUCAGGAAGGAUGGUAUGAGGGGAGAGAGAAGAGGAAAAGGAAGGUUUAGCUGAGAUCUCUUGUUGAUUCAGAUUCCUCCCCUUUCUCUCAUACUGUGUUCUGUUUUGCAGCAGAUGACAAUGAAGAUAAAAUUCACGGGCUCUCAUUCUGCAGUCAGCACUGCUGAUCACAAAGUCGCUGACUGUUGUGUGGACUGGUUGAAAGUACUCAAGUGCAGCACUUCUUAUAGUCCUUCCUGUUUUUGCUACAACCCCAUUUUUGUGACAACCCAGCAUAUAGCCAUCGGAUGCUGAGCAGCGCGGUUGUUCUGGAACCCUGUCCUUAGCCACACCAAACACCAAACCCAAGAUGAAAUCACAGGAAAGGUCUUUGGCAUUUGCAACUAUUUUCCCUGCUGCUGAUAAGGAAUGUCUCUGUACUUUUCUAUGAUGGACUCGGUGGGUCUAUUUUUAGUAUUCAAGUACUUGAAUGUGUUUUCUAAAUGUUUUAGAUGCACGAUAUUGGGAUACAUAGGGCAGAGUCUACAGUAAAGGUCAGGAAACCACAUGUCUUGAGCUAAAUUAGGCCAUUGACCAUUUUUAUAAAUAAAGUUUUAUUGGAACACAGCUACACUCAUUUAUUUAUAUAUUUUCUACAGCCAUUUUUCUAUAUAACAGCAAAGUUGAAUAGUUAUAUUUAUCCCACAAAACCAGAACUAUUUAUUAUGUGGUCCUUUAAGAAAAAGUUUGUCAAUGCCUAGUCUACAGGCAGCAAAUUGCCCAGUGGUUAGGAGUGCCGGGGUUUAAAUCACACCUUUUUCAUUUCUUAGCUUUGUGGCCUUGGGCUAUUUAACUUUGCUCUUCAUUUUCUUUAUUUGUAAUAUGGGGAUAAUAAUGGCUCCUAUCAUAAGCUUGAUAUAAGGAUUAGAUUAAAUAAAUUAUGGAAAGUGCUUGUAGUGAUACCUAUAAUGGUGUUGGUUCUCAAUAAAUUUUAUCAUUGUUAUCAUUAUAUUGUUCUAUCAAUAUAUUGUUAUCAUUAACUAUUACAGUGCAUUAUUUCAUUUAUAAAAAUGUAUUGGCUAUCGAUGAAGAGCUAGGCAGUUAGUCUAGGCACUGGGGAUGAAUUAAGGUCCAUUCUUUCCUGUGAAGGAUUUAUAUUAUAGUGGGAAAGAUAGACAUAUAAAUCACUGAUUAUAAUAUCAUGUGAUGAAUAGACAUAUGUCCAAUGUCAGUGCAGGCAUGAAAGAAGGUCGGUUUGAGGAAUGAGAUUUGGCCUGCCUCUUGAAGUAUGAAUGGACUUUUGUAAGGAUGAUACUGUGUAGAAUGGCCUAUGGGAAAAAGGAAGAGACUCUAAUGUUGGUGCAGUGGCAAGAUGGGAGGUUAGGUAAGGAAACAUAACAAGGCUUUAGGUCCAUGUGGAAAAGUGGCAGAAGAGUGAAUAGAAAUAUGGGAAAUGGGAAGAAAAGGGUUUUAAGGCAGAGCAGAGAAAAAUUGUGUAUUUGAGCUGACUUGGUGUGAAAGGUGGAUUUGAGAACAGUUAGACUGAAGCCAAUGUGGAGAGGCUGGUCUCUUGGGGUGUCUGUUGAUGGGACAUGGAAAAUAGGAUUGAAUUGCAGAGGGGGCUUCAGGGGGUCCUACUCAUCUUUGUGCUCUGCAGACCCGACAUUGUACGUGUUACAGGAAACAUCAAGUUCACCAUCAAUGCUGACAGUAAAAAUUAGAGGCGUAAGAUGUAUUUUUUGAAGUAAUUGGCUUAAGAAGAAGGCUGUGUAUAGUUGGAGGAACCUUGGGUUCAUCGACAGGAAGGUCACAUCUUUGAAGUAAUCCUCUAAGAAAGUUCUAAGCCUCUGUGAAUGCCUUAGAAACUUAAAGAUGGCAGUCAGAAAGCCUGUGUUAUCGUUCAGGGUUUUUUCCCCACUUAACUAUAUGGCUUUAGGCAUGUCACCUCAUCUCUUUGGGUUUGAGCAGCUUGUCCAUAGCUAUAUCCUGGGAUGAAACAUACAUGUACAUAGUUCCAGAGCUGGCAAAUUUUCAGGGGAAUAGGCAGCUCACCAUGGGGCCUUCAAGACUAAAUUUGGAGUCACUGUUCCCUUUUCUACUUCAGUGUUCCAGCCUUGUUCUUUCAUAUUCUCCAUCUCCCUCUCCCCAUCUUCCUCCUACAUUUUCUUCUUCGUCUUUGUCUUCCCCCU